UGGCUCAGAUUGAACGCUGGCGGCAGGCCUAACACAUGCAAGUCGAGCGGUAGAGAGAAGCUUGCUUCUCUUGAGAGCGGCGGACGGGUGAGUAAUGCCUAGGAAUCUGCCUGGUAGUGGGGGAUAACGUUCGGAAACGGACGCUAAUACCGCAUACGUCCUACGGGAGAAAGCAGGGGACCUUCGGGCCUUGCGCUAUCAGAUGAGCCUAGGUCGGAUUAGCUAGUUGGUGAGGUAAUGGCUCACCAAGGCGACGAUCCGUAACUGGUCUGAGAGGAUGAUCAGUCACACUGGAACUGAGACACGGUCCAGACUCCUACGGGAGGCAGCAGUGGGGAAUAUUGGACAAUGGGCGAAAGCCUGAUCCAGCCAUGCCGCGUGUGUGAAGAAGGUCUUCGGAUUGUAAAGCACUUUAAGUUGGGAGGAAGGGCAGUUACCUAAUACGUGAUUGUUUUGACGUUACCGACAGAAUAAGCACCGGCUAACUCUGUGCCAGCAG
rnacentral:rRNA from 1 species